UACGAAGGGGGCUAGCGUUGUUCGGAAUUACUGGGCGUAAAGCGCGCGCAGGCGGCUAUCCAAGUCAGUGGUGAAAGCCCGGAGCUCAACUCCGGAACUGCCAUUGAAACUGUUUAGCUUGAGGAUGAGAGAGGUGAGUGGAAUUCCCAGUGUAGAGGUGAAAUUCGUAGAUAUUGGGAAGAACACCGGUGGCGAAGGCGGCUCACUGGCCCGGUACUGACGCUGAGGCACGAAAGCGUGGGGAGCAAACAGG
rnacentral:rRNA from 1 species